GAUGAACGCUGGCGGCGUGCCUAAUACAUGCAAGUCGAGCGAACAGACGAGGAGCUUGCUCCUCUGACGUUAGCGGCGGACGGGUGAGUAACACGUGGAUAACCUACCUAUAAGACUGGGAUAACUUCGGGAAACCGGAGCUAAUACCGGAUAAUAUAUUGAACCGCAUGGUUCAAUAGUGAAAGACGGUUUUGCUGUCACUUAUAGAUGGAUCCGCGCCGCAUUAGCUAGUUGGUAAGGUAACGGCUUACCAAGGCAACGAUGCGUAGCCGACCUGAGAGGGUGAUCGGCCACACUGGAACUGCGACACGGUCCAGACUCCUACGGGAGGCAGCAGUAGGGAAUCUUCCGCAAUGGGCGAAAGCCUGACGGAGCAACGCCGCGUGAGUGAUGAAGGUCUUCGGAUCGUAAAACUCUGUUAUUAGGGAAGAACAAAUGUGUAAGUAACUAUGCACGUCUUGACGGCACCUAAUCAGAAAGCCACGGCUAACUACGUG
rnacentral:rRNA from 1 species